rnacentral:rRNA from 1 species
AAUCAACGCUGGCGGCGUGCCUAACACAUGCAAGUCGAACGAGAAAGUGGAGCAAUCCAUGAGUACAGUGGCGUACGGGUGAGUAACACGUGACUAACCUACCCUCGAGUGGGGAAUAACCUCGGGAAACCGGGGCUAAUACCGCAUAACAUCUUCGGAUCAAAUGCGUAAGCAGCUUGGGGAGGGGGUCGCGGCCGAUUAGCUAGUUGGUGAGGUAAUGGCUCACCAAGGCAAUGAUUGGUAGCCGGCCUGAGAGGGCGCACGGCCACACUGGAACUGAAACACGGUCCAGACUCCUACGGGAGGCAGCAGUGGGGAAUUUUGCGCAAUGGGGAAACCCUGACGCAGCAACGCCGCGUGGAGGAUGAAGCCCCUUGGGGUNUAAACUCCUUUCGAUCGGGACGAUUAUGACGGUACCGGAUGAAGAAGCACCGGCUAACUCUGUGCCAGCAGCCGCGGUAAC